CAAUGGGCGUAGGCCUGAACCAGCCAAGUAGCGUGAAGGAUGACUGCCCUAUGGGUUGUAAACUUCUUUUAUAAGGGAAUAAAGUGGAGUAUGUAUACUCUUUUGUAUGUACCUUAUGAAUAAGGAUCGGCUAACUCCGUGCCAGCAGCCGCGGUAAUA
rnacentral:rRNA from 1 species